UACAGAGGGUGCGAACGUUGCUCGGAAUUACUGGGCGUAAAGCGCGUGUAGGCGGGACUGCAAGUCAGAUGUGAAAGCCCCGGGCUCAACCCGGGAACUGCAUCUGAAACUGCAGUCCUUGAGUAUCGGAGAGGGUGGCGGAAUUCCUGGUGUAGAGGUGAAAUUCGUAGAUAUCAGGAGGAACACCGGUGGCGAAGGCGGCCACCUG
rnacentral:rRNA from 1 species